rnacentral:rRNA from 1 species
UGGGGGAUAUUGCACAAUGGGCGCAAGCCUGAUGCAGCGACGCCGCGUGGGGGAUGAAGGCCUUCGGGUUGUAAACUUCUUUUGCUCUGAACAAGGCGCACUUUGGGGUGUGUUGAGUGUAGGGGUUGAUUAGCGCCGGCUAACUACGUGCCAGCAGCCGCGGUAAUACGUAGGGCGCGAGCGUUGUCCGGAAUUAUUGGGCGUAAAGGGCUUGUAGGUGGCUGGUUGCGUCUGUCGUGAAAGCUCAUGGCUUAACUGUGGGUUUGCGGUGGGUACGGGCUGGCUUGAGUGCAGUAGGGGAGGCUGGAAUUCCUGGUGUAGCGGUGGAAUGCGCAGAUAUCAGGAGGAAUACCGGUGGCGAAGGCGGGUCUCUGUGCUGUUACUGACACUGAGGAGCGAAAGCAUGGGGAGCGAACAGG